rnacentral:lncRNA from 1 species
AGACUACAGGAGAUGAAGGAGAAGAGGGAAAACCUUUCCCCUACCUCCUCCCAGAUGUUGGAGCAGUCUCAGCAGAAUCCGUGUGUCAGUCUGCUUAAAACAUCCUUGAACAUGUCUCACCAACCUUCGAGUUCAGAUGAAUCCUUUGCCAGUGGUUCUCACUUAUCUUUUGAUGGUCCCUGUGGAGAUCAAGAAAGGAAACUGGGAAGAUCUUCUAAUGAGAUGGCCAGGAUGACAUGUCCUUCCUCACCUGUGUUGAGGGCAAGCAGUUUUUAUGGUUCAGCAUCAUCCAACCACCUCAGGCAGCCAAGUCCUCAGAAAGCUGCAGACACUCCUUCAAAGGAGGGUGUCAACCAGCAGAAAGAGGCUACAAGUGAGGUAACUGAUUCCAAGAGAAAGCAAGCUGCAGGUGUUUCUCAGGGGAUGGCUGAUGAGAAGCACUGUCUGUCUCCUACCAAGUCUGUCAUAGAAGAGCGUGUAGUACAUUUGGAACCAAAGAGUUCUCCAGCAAAGAGAAAAAGGACAGCGGACUUGGGUUCACCUUCAAAAGGAAAACUGAAGAAGAGGUACAAGAGAAAGUCUACUCCGGCAGUACAAUUAUUCAAGUCCGACUGUAGCCCGCAGUCCA